rnacentral:rRNA from 1 species
GCAUCGAUGAAGAACGCAGCGAAAUGCGAUAAGUAGUGUGAAUUGCAGAAUUCAGUGAAUCAUCGAAUCUUUGAACGCACAUUGCGCCCCUUGGUAUUCCAUGGGGCGUGCCUGUUCGAGCGUCAUUUGUACCUUCAAGCUCUGCUUGGUGUUGGGUGUUUGUCUCGCCUCUGCGCGCAGACUCGCCUCAAAACAAUUGGCAGCCGGCGUAUUGAUUUCGGAGCGCAGUACAUCUCGCGCUUUGCAUUCAGAACGACGACGUCCAAAAGUACAUUUUUACACUCUUGACCUCGGAUCAGGUAGGGAUACCCGCUGAACUUAAGCAUAUCAAUAAGCGGAGGA